UUCCAACUAUUGAUGAAUUGUUGGAUGAAGUGACCACUGCCAAGGUUUUCACCAAACUUGACUUACGUUCAGGUUACCACCAGAUUCGAGUUAAUCCUACAAAUUGCCACAAAACUGCUUUUAGAACCUUUGAUUGCCAUUACGAGUUCUUAAUUAUGCCUUUCGGCCUUGCUAAUGCACCAUCUACCUUUCAGGCAGCCAUGAAUGAUUUACUCAAGCCCCAUCUACAACACUUUGUCCUAGUUUUUUUUUAUGACAUUCUCAUUUACAGCAAAUCCGUGAAAGAACACAUUCACCACCUCACUUUGAUCCUUCAAUUAUUAGACACUCAUAAAUUCUUUGUUAAUGAAUCAAAAUGUGUGUUUGCCACAACCAGAGUCUCAUACCUAGGCCAUCUUUUGGAAGAAGGCACAGUGGCUCCAGAUCCGGAUAAAAUCAAGGCUAUCAUACUUUGGCCUAAACCUACAUCCCUUACUACUCUACAUGCGUUUCUGGGUAUUACGGGAUUUUAUCGGAAGUUCAUUCGCGAUUAUGCCACUCUUGCCUCGCCACUCACGGAGUUACUCAAAUCAUCAAUGUUUACAUGGAAUACAAAUGCAGAGGAAGCCUUUACAAAAUUGAAAAAUAUCCUAACUACAGCUCCGGUGUUGAGUCUUCAGAAUUUUGCCAUACCGUUCGUGGUAGAAACCGACGCCUCCAGCAUAGCAAUUGGAGUUGUGUUAUCCCAAGAAGGUCACCCCAUUGCUUUCUUCGGCAAGAAACUUUGCCCAAAAAUGCAAGCUAGCUCGACAUAUGUCAAGGAAAUGCUAGCUAUAACAAAAGCUGUCAAAAAGUGGCGUCAUUAUCUCAUAGGUACACAUUUCACAGUAAUAACAGACCAACAAAGCUUAAAGGGGUUACUCACCAAUGCAUGCCACACACAGAACAACAAAAGGGGGCUACCAAGCUGCUUGGAUACAGUUUUGACAUCCAAUACCGCCCAAAGCCGCCAAUAUCAAGUUGUUGAUUUCUUGUCCUGGCCACCCCAAUCCCUCCUUUUGGCCAUAUCUUCUCCGAUUUCGAACAUGUUCAAGGAAUUACAAGAUUAUUACAAGACAAAAAGGGGAGAAGAAGAGGUUCACAGAUUAAUUUCAUUACCUGACACCAAUUACAGUUUUCACCACGACCUUCUAUACCAUGCUCAAAGAUUAUACGUUCCUUCCAUAUAGCACAUUCGUUCGGCCAUACUCCACAAGUUCCAUGCUUCUCCCACAGCCGGCCACUCGGGCAUUAAGGCCACCAUGGCCAGGCUCGCAACCUCCUUUUUCUGGCCUUGUAUGUACCGCGACACCAAAAGGUAUAUCAAGGAAUGCCUACCCCGCCAACAAAACAAAUCAUUACAUCAUAAACCUUUUGAACUACUCCAAUCCAUACCCAUACCAACCAAACUGUGGGAAGAACUAACUA
rnacentral:lncRNA from 1 species